rnacentral:lncRNA from 1 species
AAAAAUAAAGCAAGAUAAGGCCCAAAUACAAAUACGAUCCAAUCGGUUAUCGACAGAGAAUUACAGUCCACGGGGAAGUUCACCGUCAUUAUAUACACGGAGCGCAUGCAUGUAUGUAAAACUAAACUACGACUUGAACAGAAACAAAAAAAAAACUAACAAAGAAAAAAAACUAAAAGCGCGUUUAUAUAAAUGGAAAUAGUUAAAUUAAUUAAAUAAAUGAAAACGGAAACUCAAAUAUAAGACAGCUGUUCGGUCAUAUAUAACCAUCGAAAUAAAAGUUCUGUAACCACACAAAAAAAUAGAAGAAUGGAAAAGCUGUCGUCAUCCGCCGUAGUUCCUCAGCUUCUCCGCAACGUAAUCAUCGCCGUCUUAGUUUUCGCCGACGAAUCUCUCCUCCAAAUCUCCGCAAACUCCAAGCUCCUCGAGAAGCUCCGCCUCUUCCUCGUCGCAUGCUUCCUCUUCUUCCUACGCUCGAUUCCUUCCGUCGUCUCCUUCGCAAACACCAAUCCGACGAGAGGCUACACCUUCCCGGAGAAGAAGAAGAAGCUCGAGAUCGGCGACUGCGAGUCGGAAUCGGGAAUCGGUCGAGCGAUAUGGCAGCUACUGUCGGCGAUGAUUGAGUUUCUUAAUCAAAGCAUCAUCUACAUUCUCCAAGGAUCAGAAGAAGCUUAAGAGUUUGAUGGAUUCUCAAUCUCCAGAAUGAGAAUCAAAAUCAACAAUGUGAUAGUGAGUCAGAUCUCCACAAUGCUCAAAGAGUUUCAACUAAUCGGAGCUAAUACGAUCAGAUCACCACGCGAAGGCGAAUCAGAUACAAUCAACCCCAAUCGAAAAAUAAAAUUUCGAAUCAGAGAGAGCUAACACCAAAACAAUUCCCCUAACGAUAACUACUCAGAUUCGAUGUUAGAGAUUAUUAUCUGAUAAUCUCAAACGAAUUAAACGAAAUGGAGAAGCGAAGGCUAACCAGGAGGAAGGAUUCGUGAUGGCUCUUGGGGGCGUUUCUUUCUUCUUCUUCUUUGUUGUCAAAGAGAUCUUUAGAAAUUGAAAUGUAAAGAGAUGAUCGAAGAGAGGAAUAACGAUACGGGGAGAUAAGGGUAACUUGGUAAUUACAAUCAAACAGACCGGGCCGCUUUCAAAUGGCCCAGUUCAAUUCGAUUUCUCAACUAUGGCCCAAAUCAAUUAUAUUUAAGAAAAUUUCAAUUGAACUGGAAAAAAAUGUGUUCCAUAUUUUCUUAGUGCAGAGGAAGGAAAAGGAAAAGGAAAAGGAAAAGGAAAAAGAAAAAUAAACAUCUUAUAAUACAUAUAUUUAUAUAUAAUCAGUUUCAAGUUAACAUAUAUAUUAAUAAAAUUUGUGAAAGUUGAUUUGUAUGAUUAAAAUGAAAUGAAAUUACCUAAUUUUUUUUAAAAAAUAAGAAACUAUAUAUAACUUGAAGCAACUUAGAAUUCCAAUCAUAGUUUUCUAUUUGAUGUGACGCGAAUAAUAAGCAUGUAAGCUCAACAAAGAAUAUAAUGAUAAAAUAUUAUAGAAAUCUAAUAAAAUGGAAUAUUAUUUGGGUGAAUCCGAUUCUGAUAAAAAAAUUCCUGGAGAGAUAAGCCAGCGAACAACAUACAUGUUCCUAGAAUCAAAGAAAUGAAAAUUAUAUGUGGCCACCAUAUCUUUCAUGAAAUUCUAUUUGUAAUUAAUAAAUUUUUAUUAUGUAAAAAAUAAGCAUCAAUUUGUAAUUAAAAAGUUUGUUUUAUGUAAAAAAAUAAAGCAAGAUAAGGCCCAAAUACAAAUACGAUCCAAUCGGUUAUCGACAGAGAAUUACAGUCCACGGGGAAGUUCACCGUCAUUAUAUACACGGAGCGCAUGCAUGUAUGUAAAACUAAACUACGACUUGAACAGAAACAAAAAAAAAACUAACAAAGAAAAAAAACUAAAAGCGCGUUUAUAUAAAUGGAAAUAGUUAAAUUAAUUAAAUAAAUGAAAACGGAAACUCAAAUAUAAGACAGCUGUUCGGUCAUAUAUAACCAUCGAAAUAAAAGUUCUGUAACCACACAAAAAAAUAGAAGAAUGGAAAAGCUGUCGUCAUCCGCCGUAGUUCCUCAGCUUCUCCGCAACGUAAUCAUCGCCGUCUUAGUUUUCGCCGACGAAUCUCUCCUCCAAAUCUCCGCAAACUCCAAGCUCCUCGAGAAGCUCCGCCUCUUCCUCGUCGCAUGCUUCCUCUUCUUCCUACGCUCGAUUCCUUCCGUCGUCUCCUUCGCAAACACCAAUCCGACGAGAGGCUACACCUUCCCGGAGAAGAAGAAGAAGCUCGAGAUCGGCGACUGCGAGUCGGAAUCGGGAAUCGGUCGAGCGAUAUGGCAGCUACUGUCGGCGAUGAACGACAUCCCGGUGAAUUCUAGAAAGUACGAAGUCGUUAGGUCCUUGGCGGAGAGACU